rnacentral:rRNA from 1 species
UACAGAGGUCUCAACCGUUGUUCGGAUUCAUUGGGCGUAAAGGGUGCGUAGGCGGCGGGGUAAGUCAGGUGUGAAAUCUCGGGGCUCAACCCCGAAACUGCACUUGAUACUGCCUCGCUUGAGUACUGGAGAGGAGACUGGAAUUUACGGUGUAGCAGUGAAAUGCGCAGAUAUCAGGAGGAACACCAGCGGCGAAGGCGGCGCUCUGGGCCGGUACUGACACUGAGGAGCGAAAGCGUGGGUAGCAAACAGG